GAUGAACGCUGGCGGCGUGCUUAACACAUGCAAGUCGAGCGAAGAAGCCCAGCUUGCUGUGUGGUUUAGUGGCGAACGGGUGAGUGACUCGCGAGUAACCAGCCCUUGACUCUGGGAUAAGCCUGUGAAACUGGGUCUAAUACUUGCUAUGACUUCUCAUCGCCUGGUGGGUUGAGGAGAGAAUUAUUGGUUUUGGAUGGACUCGCGGCCUAUCAGCUUCUUUGUGAGGUAUUGGCAAACCAAGGCGUCGCCUGGUAGCCGGCCUGUGAGGGGGACCGGCCACACUAGGACUGAGACACGCAGCAGAAGGCAACGGGAGGCAGCAGUGGGGAAUAUUACGCAGCAGGGCCGAGCGUGUGGUAACGACGUCGGGUGAGUGAUACCGGGCUUCGAGUGAAGAACCUCUGUGAAUAGAAAAGAGGCGAGAGUGACGGUACCUGCAGAAAAAGCGCCGGCUAACUACGUG
rnacentral:rRNA from 1 species